GAGAGGGAGACAGGUAAGAGAGAGAGAGAGAGAGAGAGAGAGAGAGAGGGAGACAGGUAAGGAGAGAGAGAGAGGGAGGGAGACAGGUAAAGGAGAGAGAGAGGGAGGGAGACAGGUAAGGAGAGAGAGAGAGAGAGAGAGGGAGACAGGUAAGGAGGGAGGGAGACAGGUAAGGAGAGAGAGGGAGGGAGACCGAGAAGGGUAAGGAGAGAGAGGGAGGGAGACAGGUAAGGAAAGAGAGGGAGGGAGACAGGUAAGGCGAGAGAGUUAGGGAGGGAGACAGGUAACGCCGAGAGAGAGGGAGGGAGACAGAGAGGGGUUAGGAGAGAGAGAGGGAGACCGAGAGGGAGAGAAAGCCCAGUGAAGGCUGUGAGCUGGAGGUCAUUAAGGGUAAAAAUAUAAUGUGUCACACACACACACACACACACACACACACACACACACACACACACACACACACACACACACACACACACACACACACACACACACACACACACACACACACACACACACACACACACGGUAGCCAUUGGUGUGUAGAGGGAGAAAGAGAGAGGCAGUAUUAGCUAUUAUAUGGGCUCUGCAAGUCACAUUAAGUAGGUGUGUGUGUUUCAGGGAGGAUGUCUGCAGCGGUGGUCCCAGAAUCCUCAAGGGUCUGUAACCAGGGGCAACCAGCCAGGAAGAACAGGAAGGCACCUGUACUAUACACCUGUACAACGUACAGCCCUAGGGCGAGGACCUGCCUUCCCAGUUUGGUCACAUGACUGUGAGCUCCCAGUCAUUGGCAGAAGCUCCGCCUCUAUACCCUCCCUUAGCCCCUCCCACACAGAGUAAAGUCUUCACCGCCCCUCCUCAUAACCCCCCAGCUACUGCCAACCCCCUCCAACCCAGCUACUUCCGAACCAAGCCCAAAGCAUGCUGGGAUGGCGAAGCAUGAUUCAUCACUCCAAAGAAUGCAUUUCCACUGCACCAGAGUCCAAUGGUGGCAAGCUUUACACCACUCCAGCCAAGGUUGGCAUUGCACAUGGUGAUCUUAGACUUGUGUGCAGCUGCUCGGCCAUUGAAACCCAUUUUAUGAAGCUCCUAACAAACAGUUAUUGCGCGGACGAGGCUUCCAGAGGCAGUUUGGAACUCGGUAGUGAGUGUUGCAACAAAGGACAGACAAUUUUUACAGCCUACGCACUUCAGCACUUGGCGGUGCCGUACUGUGAGCUUGUGUGGCCUACCACUUCGCUGUUGAGCCGUUGUUGCUCCUAGACGUUUCCACUUCACAAUAGCAGCACUUACAGCUGACCGGGGAAGCUCUAGCAGGGCAGAAAUUGUAUAUAGCGUCGUUAUUGUUAUUUUUUACUUUCUAUAUUUUACUUUAGUUUAUUUGGUAAAUAUUUUCUUAACUCUUCUUGAACUGCACUGUUGGUUAAGGGCUUGUAAGUAAGCAUUUCACAGUAAGGUCUACCCUUGUCGAAUCCUAUGACAGUGCAUCCUAUGACCGUGUCAUGCUGAAAGUCACCGAUCUCUUCAGAAAGGGCCGUUCCACUGUCAAUGUUUGUCUAUGGAGAUGGCAUGGCUGUGUGCAACGAGUGUGACUGAAACUGCCAAAUCCACUAAUUUGAAGGGCUGUCCACAUACUUUUAGUGUACAGUGCAUUCAGAAAGUAUUCAGACCCCUUGACUUUCUCCACAUUUUGUUACGUUACAGCCUUAUUCUCAAAUGGAUUAAAUAAAACAUCCUCAAUCUACACACAAUACCCCAUAAUGAUAAAGCGAAAA